rnacentral:rRNA from 1 species
UACGUAGGGGGCAAGCGUUGUCCGGAAUCAUUGGGCGUAAAGCGCGUGUAGGCGGUUCGGUAAGUCUGCUGUGAAAGUCCAGGGCUCAACCCUGGGAUGCCGGUGGAUACUGUCGGGCUAGAGUACGGAAGAGGCGAGUGGAAUUCCCGGUGUAGCGGUGAAAUGCGCAGAUAUCGGGAGGAACACCAAUUGCGAAGGCAGCUCGCUGGGACGUCACUGACGCUGAGACGCGAAAGCCAGGGGAGCAAACGGG